rnacentral:snoRNA from 1 species
ACCGUCCAGUUUUCUUGUCUAUCAGACCUAAACACUGGCCUCAGUGGUUAUAAAAGAAGAGAAAGUAAAAACGUGAAACUGAUUUCAAUUCUUUUGUGACACACGAGCUAAUUUCAAAAUAAA